rnacentral:rRNA from 1 species
AGUAACACGUGGGCAAUCUGCCCUGCACUCUGGGACAAGCCCUGGAGACGGGGUCUAAUACCGGAUAUGACCACCGGCCGCAUGGUCUGGUGGUGGAAAGCUCCGGCGGUGCAGGAUGAGCCCGCGGCCUAUCAGCUUGCUGGUGGGGUGAUGGCCUACCAAGGCGACGACGGGUAGCCGGCCUGAGAGGGUGACCGGCCACACUGGGACUGAGACACGGCCCAGACUCCUACGGGAGGCAGCAGUGGGGAAUCUUGCGCAAUGGGCGAAAGCCUGACGCAGCAACGCCGCGUGGGGGAUGACGGCCUUCGGGUUGUAAACCUCUUUCGACAUCGACGAAGCCUUCGGGUGACGGUAGAUGUAGAAGAAGCACCGGCUAACUACGUG